GCCACACCCCUUUCAACUUACCCUUCCAUCCAAAAUCAAACAGAAACCAUAGCAGCAGAAAAAACAAGAGAAGAAGAAAACGUUGAGGGAGAGAGGAAGAAACAGAGUUAGGGAAGAGAAGAGAGGGGGACGACCAGCGCUGGUGGCCCGGGCUGCUCGCCGCCAUCGCUGUUAGCACUGAUGCGAAGGAGGGAGCCAGAGGAGAAGAAACACAACGCUGUUCUGCCAUUCCUCGCCGCAGAUGAAGCUCGUCACCGCAGCACCACGCCUCGCGAACCACUACCGCGUCGCGCCUGUCGUCGUUUUCGUGGGUUCCGGUCGUCAUCGUCGUCUCUGCCGUGAAGCCCGUUACCGCCGUCCUUCUCGCCAUGAAGCCAGCGCCACCAUCGUCGUCACCAUGGAUUGCUGCUGCGCGUGACACCACCGCCGCUGCCGCCUCGAAGUCCGUCGCCGUCAAGCAGAGUGACGAGCACAGAGAGAAUCCCUAGGUGAGAGAGAGAGAGAGAACCAGGGAAGGCCGCGACCAAUCCAGCCGCCGCGCCCAGUCACCGGCGUCGUCUUCGUCUGAACCACCGCCAGAUCUGCCUGUGCUGCUACUCCAAAAUUCCACUUCUGUUUCUUAGGGUUUGCUAUCUCAGCCCCCUUGAAGUUACCGUCGGUCCUGUCCUUCCCGGUGAGGGUCACCGGAGCUGCUGCAAUUCCAGUCUUUUGUUCCUCUGCUAAGGUUAUUCUGUCACGCCUUUUCUCGCUAUAAUGUUUCAUUAAUUAACUCUGUCCUACUUUACAUAAAUGUUCCUUUGUAUCCUUACUCAGCCUUAAACCACAGUAGAUUAUUAGAUUUACUGCUGUUGCCGUUUUGUAGCUGCCUCGCGGUGUUGUUCCAUCAUAGCUAUUGCUGGAAGAGGAAAUCAAAAUGGCUGCCAUGAAUUAAAAGGAAAUGGAGUUGUUACGAUAGGUUUAUGCGAACUCGGCUAAUCGAGAGUUGUGGUUGCCGCAUAAGCGGUUUGGAACUGAGACUGCAGCUGCCACUGAUUGCGGACCGAAAAGAAAGGGUUUCUGGAUGCGUUUAAUUUAUGAGUUUCGAUUAUUCGAGUUUUAUCUUUUCAGGAACCGGAUGAAGCAUUAAGAAGAGUUAUACUGCGUUUGGUUUAUAUGUUGUAU